GAUGAACGCUGGCGGCGUGCCUAAUACAUGCAAGUCGAGCGAAGCGGGGACGGGUGAGUAACACGUGGAUAACCUCCUAUAAUACUGGGAUAACUUCGGGAAACCAGAACUAAACCGGAUAAUUAUAGAUGGAUCCGCGCUGCAUUAGCUAGUUGUUUAGGUAACGGCUUACCACGUCAACGAUGCAUAGCCGACCUGAGAGGGUGAUCCGCCACACGGGAACUGAGCAACGGUCCAGACGCCUACGGGAGGCGUCAGUAGGGAAUCGUCCUCAAGGGGCUAAAGCCUGACGGAGCCACGCCGCGUGAGUGAUGAGGGUCUGCGGAUCGUAAAACUCUGUUAUUAGGGAAGCGGUACCUAAUCAGAAAGCCACGGCUAACUACGUGCCAGCAGCCGCGGUAAUAC
rnacentral:rRNA from 1 species